rnacentral:rRNA from 1 species
UACGUAGGGUGCAAGCGUUGUCCGGAAUUAUUGGGCGUAAAGAGCUCGUAGGCGGUCUGUUGCGUCGGCUGUGAAAACCCGGGGCUCAACUCCGGGCCUGCAGCCGAUACGGGCAGACUAGAGUUCGGCAGGGGAGACUGGAAUUCCUGGUGUAGCGGUGAAAUGCGUAGAGAUCGGCAGGGACACCCAGGGGGAAACCAGUGGACUGGGCAUGUGCUGACGCUCAGGUGCGAAAGCGUGGGGAGCGAACCGG